rnacentral:rRNA from 1 species
CGUAGGUGGCAAGCGUUGUCCGGAAUUAUUGGGCGUAAAGAGCGCGCAGGUGGUUGAUUAAGUCUGAUGUGAAAGCCCACGGCUUAACCGUGGAGGGUCAUUGGAAACUGGUCGACUUGAGUGCAGAAGAGGGAAGUGGAAUUCCAUGUGUAGCGGUGAAAUGCGUAGAGAUAUGGAGGAACACCAGUGGCGAAGGCGGCUUUCUGGUCUGUAACUGACACUGAGGCGCGAAAGCGUGGGGAGCAAACAGGAUUAGAUA